UAUGCUUUAGAUCUAAAAUAAAAAUUAUAUCGAUCUCAUCGAUACUGAAAUUUUAGAUCUAACUAUUAGAUCUAUAUAGGAAUCAAAAUAAAUUAGAGAUCAUUACCAAAUAAAUUUUGAUCUUGAUUUUCUCUAAUCCAAUGAUUGGAGAGGGUGUUCUUCAGAUCACUUCAGCCACACGAAGUCGUCUGGCCUCUAUAUGAAAAUCCAAGUGAAGACUGGUGUAUAUCAGGGGCUCGAAGAUGCUAGUCUGUGAACAACUUCAACAACUGAUCUCUUUCUUCUUCUACAAGCACUUUAAACACUCCAAAGUGAUAGAAGAUCUGGAGGAGGA
rnacentral:lncRNA from 1 species